AGACAGGUUAGUUUUACCCUACUGCUGUCCGCUUUUCUACGGUAAUUUGGUUCAGUACGAGAGGAACCACCAAUUCGCAUCAUCGGUAUAGCCGCCGCCGGAAACGGCGAUGCGGCGAAGCUGCCAUGCGCCGGAUUAUAACUGAACGCCUCUAAGUUAGAAUCCAUGCCGGAAGGAAAGCUCCCCACCGGCCCGGGCACGCCACGAGCAACGGUAGCACUGCCUGAGCCGCGCGCGACCACAAUUUCCGCGCCCGGGCCGACGAAUCCCUUGCAGACGACUUGAAUAAGGAACGGGGUAUUGUACGCG
rnacentral:rRNA from 12 species